CCCUUAGAUGUUCUGGGCCGCACGCGCGCUACACUGAUGAAUUCAACGAGUAUAUAACCUUGACCGAUAGGUCUGGGUAAUCUUUUGAAAUUUCAUCGUGAUGGGGCUAGAUUAUUGCAAUUAUUAAUCUUUAACGAGGAAUUCCUAGUAAGCGCAAUUCAUCAGAUUGCGUUGAUUACGUCCCUGCCCUUUGUACACACCGCCCGUCGCUCCUACCGAUUGGAUGAUCCGGUGAAAUCUUCGGACCGUGACGAAGCAGUUGGUCUCUGACAGCUACGUCGUGGAAAGUCGCUUAAACCUUAUCAUCUAGAGGAAGGAGAAGUCGUAACAA
rnacentral:rRNA from 1 species